rnacentral:rRNA from 1 species
UACGGAGGAUCCGAGCGUUAUCCGGAUUUAUUGGGUUUAAAGGGUGCGCAGGCGGAAUAUUAAGUCGGCGGUGAAAGUUUGCAGCUUAACUGUAAAAUUGCCGUUGAUACUGGUAUUCUUGAAUGUAUAUGAAGUAGGCGGAAUUUGUAGUGUAGCGGUGAAAUGCAUAGAUAUUACAAGGAACUCCGAUUGGGAAGGCAGCUUACUAAAUUACAACUGACGCUUAGGCACGAAGGCGUGGGUAUCAAACAGGAUUAGAUACCCUGGUAGUCCCUGA